CCUACGGGAGACAGCAGUGAGGAAUAUUGGUCAAUGGGCGUAAGCCUGAACCAGCCAAGUCGCGUGAGGGAUGAAGGUUCUCUGGAUCGUAAACCUCUUUUAUAAGGGAAUAAAGUGCGGGACGUGUUCCGUUUUGUAUGUACCUUAUGAAUAAGGAUCGGCUAACUCCGUGCCAGCAGCCGCGGUAAUACGGAGGAUCCGAGCGUUAUCCGGAUUUCUUGGGUUUAAAGGGUGCGUAGGCGGCCAUUUAAGUCAGCGGUGAACUGCCCCCGCGCAACGUGGUGAAGUGCCAUUGAUACUGCGUUGCUGGAAUGCGGAUGCCGGGGGAGGAAUGUGUGGUGUAGCGGUGAAAUGCAUAGAUAUCACACAGAACACCGAUGGCGAAGGCAUCUCACUAAUCCGCGAUUGACGUUGAUGCACGAAAGCGUGGGUAUCAAACAGGAUUAGAUACCCGAGUAGUC
rnacentral:rRNA from 1 species